UACGUAGGGUGCGAGCGUUAAUCGGAAUUACUGGGCGUAAAGCGUGCGCAGGCGGUUAUUUAAGACAGAUGUGAAAUCCCCGGGCUCAACCUGGGAACUGCGUUUGUGACUGGAUAGCUAGAGUAUGGCAGAGGGGGGUGGAAUUCCACGUGUAGCAGUGAAAUGCGUAGAGAUGAGGAGGAACACCAGUGGCGAAGGCGGCCACCUGGACAGUAACUGACGCUGAGGCGCGAAAGCGUGGGUAGCAAACAGG
rnacentral:rRNA from 1 species